rnacentral:rRNA from 1 species
UAAUACGAAGGGGGCUAGCGUUGUUCGGAAUUACUGGGCGUAAAGGGCGCGUAGGCUGUGCUGUAAGUCAGGCGUGAAAGGCCCGGGCUCAACCUGGGAACUGCGCUUGAUACUGCGGCGCUUGAAGACGGGAGAGGAUGGCGGAAUUCCCAGUGUAGAGGUGAAAUUCGUAGAUAUUGGGAAGAACACCGGUGGCGAAGGCGGCCAUCUGGCCCGUUAUUGACGCUGAGGCGCGAAAGCGUGGGGAGCAAACAGGAUUAGAUACCCUGGUAGUCCACGCCGUAAACGAUGAGUGCUAGACGUCGGGGGGCUUGCCCUUCGGUGUCGCAGCUAACGCAUUAAGCACUCCGCCUGGGGAGUACGGUCGCAAGAUUA